rnacentral:rRNA from 1 species
GACGAACGCUGGCGGCGUGCCUAAUACAUGCAAGUCGAACGCUGAAACUUGGUGCUUGCACCGAGCGGAUGAGUUGCGAACGGGUGAGUAACGCGUAGGUAACCUGCCUGGUAGCGGGGGAUAACUAUUGGAAACGAUAGCUAAUACCGCAUAAGAGUAGAUGUUGCAUGACAUUUGCUUAAAAGGUGCAAUUGCACCACUACCAGAUGGACCUGCGUUGUAUUAGCUAGUUGGUGGGGUAACGGCUCACCAAGGCGACGAUACAUAGCCGACCUGAGAGGGUGAUCGGCCACACUGGGACUGGGACACGGCCCAGACCCCUACGGGAGGGAGCAGGAGGGAAUCUUCGGCAAAUGACGGAAGGCUGACCGAGCAAAGCCGCGUGAGGGAAGAAGGUUGUCGGAUCGGAAAGCUCGGUUGUAAGAGAAGAAAGAGUGUGAGAGUGGAAAGUUCACACUGUGACGGUAUCUUACCAGAAAGGGACGGCUAACUACGUG